AUGACUCUCCACCAAUGGAACGUCGCAUUGAGCGACGUUUCAGCAGCCAAAGAAUAUUUGGUGGACUUCUGUCAGAUACAGAUUCUGACUCGGAUGAUGGUGGGCGUCGCAGGGGCCUCCAGGAUGGCAUAGAGAAUGAAACACAGUGGAAGGACACAGAAGAAGCUAUUGCCAAAGAAAUGACGAGAAUUAAGGAACGGCCUAAACCAAAACACCAUUGGAAUUUUGUAGAUCAAGUUGUACAGAGGCAGUUAGGUAGUCGAGCAAGGUACCAAUCCUCAGUGUUAUUUAGUCACCACUACUAUGACUCGCUCCAUGUACCUAAGCGCCUUGAACUCAUGUACAAGAUGGAGUUCCACAGGGGGUGCGUUAAUGCCCUAAGCUUCAAUGCGAGUGGCACCAGGCUUGCUAGUGGCUCUGAUGAUUUCCAGAUUGCCAUUUGGGAUUGGGCUCGAGAGAAAGCCAUAAUCACAUUUUACAGUGGACAUAGGAAUAAUGUGUUCCAGAGUAAGUUCCUGCCACUGAGUGGUGACACACACAUUGUAUCCUGUGCAAGGGAUGGACAAGUUCGUUUGGCUGAGUUGUCCUCCACUGGCGUGUGCAAGGCCACCAGAAAAUUAGCCAAGCAUCAUGGCCCAGCACAUAAGCUUGCCACCCUUCCUACCUCCCCACAUGUUGUUUUAUCUGCUGGAGAAGAUGCUGUUGUACUUAACAUUGAUAUUCGUCAGGAACAGCCUAGCAGGGUGGCAUUUGUGAAGGAUAUCUCUGGUAGCCGUGUCUCUCUCUACAGCAUCCAUGCUCAUCCAAUCAAUGAAAAUCAGUUUUGUGUUAGUGGGCACGAUCAAUAUGUUCGAGUAUAUGACCGACGUUGUGGGAAUCUUGACUUCCCAGCUUUGAAGUUCUGUCCAAGACAUUUGUAUGAGGCUGUCCCAACACCAACAGUAACUUGUGCAGUCUACAGUGGUAACGGGGACUCUAUACUGGCAUCAUACAAUGAUGAUGACAUUUAUCUGUUUGAUACAUCACGCUCUGAAGCUGCAGAUGCAGUCCAUAGAUACUCCGGCCAUCGUAAUAGUGCUACAGUUAAGGGUGUGAAUUUCUUUGGUCCUGGAAGCCAGUACGUUGUAUCAGGGUCCGACUGUGGAAACAUAUUCUUCUGGCACCGUGAGACUGAGGCCAUUGUCCAGUGUAUGCCAGGAGACGAAAAUGGAGUGGUUAAUGUGUUGGAGCCACAUCCACACAUACCAGUGCUGGCUACAAGUGGCCUUGACGAUGAUGUUAAAAUUUGGGUGCCAACGUGUGAAGAGGAUCCAGACCUCCCCAACCUGGAUCAGACUCUCAAGUCCAAUUUAAGUAAGCGCCACAAAGAACGUAAUGAAGAAUUCACUGGACUUGAUUCCCAAAUGCUGAUGGUCCUUUGGCAUCACAUCAGACGGACAGAUCGCAGACGACGUAGGGGUGCGUCCUCAGACAGUGACUGAUAUUCGUGCACAGCGCUGGCACAUAAGCCUUCAGCUUCACCUCGGCAAUUGCACCAGGAAGAGAUAAAUGGGUUCUAAAAAUGGCAACAGCUGGGAACAGCAGCAGUGGCAAUGUGGGUGCCGAGGGUGGCAAUGGCACUGGAGGGUCAUCUAGUGAAGACUCCAACGACAGCGAAGAUGAUGAUUCUGAAGGACACCGGGGUAUCCAGUGUGCUACA
rnacentral:misc_RNA from 1 species